rnacentral:rRNA from 1 species
UUCCUACGGGUGGCUGCAGUGGGGAAUCUUGCGCAAUGGGCGAAAGCCUGACGCAGCCAUGCCGCGUGAAUGAUGAAGGUCUUAGGAUUGUAAAAUUCUUUCACCGGGGACGAUAAUGACGGUACCCGGAGAAGAAGCCCCGGCUAACUUCGUGCCAGCAGCCGCGGUAAUACGAAGGGGGCUAGCGUUGCUCGGAAUUACUGGGCGUAAAGGGCGCGUAGGCGGAUCGUUUAGUCAGAGGUGAAAUCCCAGGGCUCAACCCUGGAAUUGCCUUUGAUACUGGCGAUCUUGAGUGUGAGAGAGGUAUGUGGAACUCCGAGUGUAGAGGUGAAAUUCGUAGAUAUUCGGAAGAACACCAGUGGCGAAGGCGACAUACUGGCUCAUUACUGACGCUGAGGCGCGAAAGCGUGGGGAGCAAACAGGAUUAGAUACCCCAGUAGUCCA